rnacentral:rRNA from 1 species
UAGUCCACGCUGUAAACGAUGAUCACUCGAUAUGGGUCUUUUAUAGGCGCGUGUCCAAGCGGAAGCAUUAAGUGAUCCACCUGGGGAGUACGUUCGCAAGAAUAAAACUUAAAGGAAUUGACGGGGAUCCGCACAAGCGGUGGAGCAUGUGGUUUAAUUCGAUACUACGCGAGGAACCUUACCUAGGCUCUAAUGUAUUUUGACGCAUACAGAAAUGUAUGUUUCCGUAAGGACAAUUUACAAGGUGCUGCAUGGCUGUCGUCAGCUCGUGCCGUGAGGUGUUUGGUUAAGUCCUAUAACGAGCGCAACCCUUAUGCUUAGUUGCCAGCGCGUCAUGGCGGGAACUUUAAGCAGACUGCCUGCGAAAGCAGUGAGGAAGGAGAGGAUCAAGUCAAGUCAUCAUGGCCCUUACGCCUAGGGCUACGCACGUGCUACAAUGGCAUGUACAACGGGUCGCUACCUGGUAACAGGAUGCUAAUCUCUAAAACAUGUCU